rnacentral:tRNA from 1 species
GAUAAUGUGGCCGAGUGGUCUAUGGCGCUGGUUUUAGGCACCAGUGUCUUCGGAGGCAAGGGUUCGAAUCCCUUCACUGUCA